ensembl:lncRNA
CGCGUGGCCGUGAAGAUACUCAUUAACAUGUCAUUUGCUUGACGAGGAGGGGGCGGGUCCAUGUCUCCACUGAAAAAGGAUCCUUCCACCGACCACCGGAAGAACCUACCACCGACCAAUGCAACCUGCCGCUCCGAAAAGGUAACCUGGCACCGACCACCGGAACCUGCCAUCCGGACAAAGGAAGCUACCACCGACCACUUUUCGCACUCGGCGUCACUCCUCCCAGUUCUUCUGGACUAUGUUCUCUUGUCCCAGAUAAAUCCCCAGGUAUUUCAAACCGUCUUUCCUCCACACUAGGCUUUGGGGAAGAAGUGGGAGGCCGUCACAACAUUCACCGACAGCAAGGGCUUUUCUUCCAGUUCACCCUCGCUGCCGAUGCCUUGCUAAAACUCUUCACAAUGUCAGUUAAAAGGUCUGCAUCCUUCUGGUCUUUAAUAAAAACAACAACAUUGUCGGCAUGAGCUGAUAAAAUCAUUCUUCUUCUAAAACCAGGUAAAACCAAGCCCUCCAGGCUAUUUUGACGAGGAGGGGUUCUAGGUGGAGUGCCUUGAGCAUCCCGGACAUCGCACAACUCUGCCGGACCCCUCUACACACUCUAAAAGGUGCACACAGGCCGCCGUUUAUCUUCAGCACACUCUCAAUGUCCCUGUACAACACUUUGAUCUUAGCUAUGAAACCAGCCUCUCUUCACAGUGGACCGAGAAAAAGUGGAAUACACAGUUCUAAGAAGAGUUUCCACAUCUCGCAUCAAAGGUAAAUUUUUCCCAAGUCCUCUCUAUGGGCCACACAAUGUUGUUCUGUUAGUUAGGGUUGUGUGUAUUUUAACUCAGUUGUUUUUUCCUAGCAUAACUGAGGCACCAUCAGAGGUCAGCAUGACCAUUCUCUGCAUGUCCAGUCCAUGUUUGGAGAAAAACUGUGUUAUUGCCUGCACAAUAUCCUGAGCCGUGCAUGCUGUUAGCUAGAUGAUGCCACCAAACACAGUUUUAUAGUCAACAUCAUUUUCCUCCCUGUAUUUGAUAUAUAUGACUAUCAUUUUGUGUAGGCUACUGAUAUGUCUGUGCUCUCAUCUACUAUCAGUGUAUGCCAGGGUGCAUUUUAAACACUCUCAUUGAUUGAUUUCACAAAUUCAAAAGGCAUAGUUUUGCUUCGCCAGCUUUCUGGUAUACUCACAUACUUUGUGAUUGUGGAUUUGUUGAACUGACAGCAUCGAUGCAUUCAUUUUGAUGGGAAGUAAAAUAUUGUCAAUGAGAAUUUUAACUUGCUUGGGGUCAGAUUUUGUUUUCUGUGACAGUUUGUUUCUUUGCUCUCGGCCUUUUGCGCUCUCCCGCAAUAAUGUAGCAAUCCCCUGUCCCAUCUUGAGUCUUUGUACAAUUCCAACAGCUUUCAAAUGACUUUUCUGCUGAAUGUGACGUUUGUGGUAGUCCAACUUCCAUUCAGUCACAUUUUUCCCACUGAAAGCUCACUUGGUACUUCGGCUUCGGUGCAUGUUUUGCAGAGUAGACCUUUCUUCUAGUCUAGUUUCACUGCUUGUUCUUCUCUUUGCACAUACUCAGACAGCCAUUCGAUUCUAAAAGAACCGCAUUUCUUUUUUACUUUGGCUUGGUGAUGUGUCGCUGGCGUUGCCCGUUCGUUUCGCCAUGAUAAGGGGUUGCGUUUCUUAACUCCGCCGCCCUGUUGUUAGCAAGCUAACCUGCACGGCGCGUAUGGGCAGGGCACAUAGAACUAUAAAUGCUAUGAUUGGCUGCAUAGCGUAAUUAAACCGUAUCGUAUCAUUGGCUGAACGCCUGUCACUCACUGUGUUACAUUGAAAAAUGGUACAGAAAAACACAUUAAUUGUCUAAUUAAAUAGAUUAGAUUCGGUCUAAUAUUAGAUAUUCAUUCAUACGUUUAUGGUGAAUUUUAUUUUAUGCGCUGCAUAGAUUUUCUUGUGCGCUGAGACUGUGCGCUGAGACUGUGCGAGCAGUGCGCGAUUGCGCAGGCGUGCAGCUUAGAGGGAACAUUGAUUGUGAGUGUUGAGGAUGCACAGAAAGGUCUCAAAAUCCUCUCUCGAGUGAGGCCACACGCUCCAGACGUCGUCCAAGUAUCUUUAAUAAUACAGUGUUUUUUUAGGACAUAUUUUCAGGACUGAGUCCUCCCACUCCUUAAAAAUGUUUGCAUGUGCAGGAGCAAACUUCUUCCCCAUAGCUGUACCCUUAAUUUGAAGAAAAAGUUCCCCAUUAAAUUCAAAGUCGUUUUGGGUCAGAAUCAUUUCCAGUAACUGUAACAAUUCUUUCUCUCGUCUCUUUUUGUUGGGGUGUUUCCGAAAUGCAUUAUUAACGGCCUGUAUGCCUUCUUUUGUGUCAAUGUUUGUAUAAAGACUACCUAUGUCAAUUGUCAAUAAAAUUGAGUUGUCCAGAAUGUGGAGUCCUUUAAUUAUGUUAACAAAGUGUCCUUUAUGUAACUCAGAUGUGUGGUCGAGAGAGGAUUCAGGAAGUGAUCAAUAUAUUCCGCCGUAUGAUAUGUUUCACUGCUGAAAAUCAGACACAAUCGGCCGGCCCGGAGGGAUCUCAUUGUCACGGAAUGACCAGGAGACCGACAGGAGGUAGUAGAAUCAAGUUUAUUUGUCAAUAAUCUAACAGAGAGCGAAAGAGUUUAACCCAUAGUCUAAUACUAUCAAAAGAGAGCGAGUCUAAGUGUCAUGAUACUAACAAGACUAGACAAGGAGUGAGUGUGCCAGUGCAGUUUAUAAAGGUGGUGACUGAUGAGGUGUGAAGAACGUGCAGGUGCGUGUGAUCAGUACUGAGGCGAUAGUGAAUUCCUAGGGGCGGGACGAUCAGGGUCGUCAGCAUGGAACUGGGCGAGGAACUGGGCGAGGAGAGCAGGGUCCAAGAUGUUAUCACGUGGUUCCCACGACUGCUCCUCUGGACUGUAGACCUCCCAGUCGGCCAGGUACUCGAGACGCGGACCUCCACUGCAUGAAAAGUGGGAUUUUCGCCAGUAUGCGGCACUGUAAAUUGUUGUGGAAUUUCAGGUUUGCGGCUGUUCACGGCAAUUUGCGGGCAACGCCGAAAACUGCCGUAAAUUGUCAGAAAUUGAUGUGGGCCUCCCUUGGCAGUUGUCCCCCCUUGACCCCCCUCCUCCUAAUUCUAGGGGAGGCUUUGACAUGUAAAUGAAAAUGCUGUGAGCUAUACAAAUGCAAAUCAGGGUCGCAGAGGGAGUUUUAGCCCAGGUGACAUAUUUUUAAAAGGUAAGAAAAUCUCUGGUACAAAUAGAUUAGGCUCAGUAGCCUAAUUAUAGACGCUUACAUUUUAGCUUGAAUUGAUUUAUUUAAUUCAAAUAUGCUAGAUUACUGUGUACGCCAUUAGCAAUGGCAAAUGUUAUGUAAAAAAGAUACACAAAAUAACUUCUUUAAAAAAUGAGUUUUAAUCAAGCAAUAAUGAGCAUUCCAUGCAAACAACAUUUGAAUCAGAAUGAGGGGUCUGCAGAGAUCACAGUCUCCUAGAGCUCAACUACAGUGCAUAGGAUCAGGACUACAGUGACCUUUUCUUUGGUCUUACUUAAAUGCACAGAGGAUGUAUUAACCACACAUGUUCUAGCAAUGCGCUCAACUGGCAGAAAUGAUGCUGGGUAUGACGUGUCUGUUCCCUGCAAGCCCCAAACUUCUAUUGGCUUUCCAUAAAAAUGUCUGUCCGGGUGGGGAUGAAGCCAGGAAAAACUUGUGCAAGAACAUGUUUAAAUGCCAUACCCUUUGACACAACAUUAACAACUAUAAACUGCUUUAUAAUGGCUGGUCGUAGUUCUGCUAGAGGGUCAAGGACGGGUUCCUCAAAACUGUUAGUGUUUCCACACCACUUAGCAUGAACAUAUGCUGACCUUUAUGCUCUGCAUCUAUCGAUUGAGUAAGUUACAUUCAUAUAUGUUACCCGUUUACAUGUCAUGGCAAAACAUUCAACCUAAGUGACACAAGGGUACAUCUGAUGAUACAUUGUCAACAUUGCAUGUAUGUCAGACUCAUCCAAGAUUGUCUGGUGGAAUGGAGAAAGAGGCACCACUGUACAGUUUUCUAGGGAAAGUCGUUCCGCUGACACCAAAACACCGCUUUACAUAAAGCAUAUCAGCUGUUUCAUUGCACGACAAAGUCCCAACCAUUUGUCUUCCUAAAAUACUGGUCCUUCCGUAUAACAAUAACCUUGUAUGUGAUUGGAGGACCCUUAGACUCCUCGUCCAAUCACGUGUGAGGUCAUAGGCAUGACUCGGACAGCAGUACUUACUUGACGAGCAUACAAACAGACACUAUAUUCAGAAGAACUGUAUCUCCAGUUCCUUUGUUUGGUUUUUGCUGGUUCGUGAAUAAUGGCUGGACGACGUCUCGCGUUCAACUCGCCUUCAACUCCUCUCCGCGGCCACCAACUUUCGGCCAGUCCGCAGACAGACGAGAAGAAACUGCUGAAUGGUCUCAGUGGAUCGUCUCGUCAACUCCAACAACAAACUGCCGAUAUCAACGAGCGGUUAGGGACUCUCCAGGUUGCUGUCCAUAGAGGAGAGGUUGGCGGCUCUGGAGGAACUGACUCAAAGAAGAGGAGACGGGCGCACAAUCCCAAGAUAGCGGUAAGAAUAUGUUCGAUGACUGCAAGCUAAGCUAAAAGUAGCGUAGCCUAAAACGAAAGCUAAGAGUAGGCUAGUAGCCUUACAAAUGAGCAGAAACAGCUUUAUUAAAGUGUAUUUUUUUUGCCGUGUCGUUUACAGGAAGCGGUGUGCCGUCUUCACAACUCCGAGACGAAUUACAGGCGCUACGAACUGGAGCAAGGGUCAGAUUUAAAGAAUAUGCUUUCAUUCUGCGGUAUAAGGAAAUAUGUACAUAUAGAUACCAUAAGAUGGAUACCGAUCAUAACUGUACAUUUUGUUUUUCACAGACUAAUCUCGCCUCAUAAUGAGGCGGUGACCUCGUAUUUGCUCCAGGAAAAGUCCAGAUUUAGACGACGUCAUUGUGUGUAAGUGACACCGUUUACUGUUUCUCCUUCCUUGUUAAAUGUUACUGUGACUUGGGUUUGAUUUUUUUUGUAUUCAUACCACACUCAUCUAAUUGUUUUCCAGCCGCCUGUGAGACUAUUUUGAGACGGUGCGCAGGAGCUUCAGGUUUUCCCAGCCGGAACACUCAUUGCGGGCGGAAGCUGCGAAGGAUUCAGCGCGGAGUCGAGCAAGAAGAAAGAGUUUAUUUGCUGACUUUUUUCAGGUGCAUUGAUAAGAUGUGUUGUGUCCGUACGCAUCGCAAAGUACUGAUUCACUGUUGUUUUUACAGCUGCUGGAAUUGAGACAAAGUGUGCUGGCUGAUGAUGAGGUGGAACUCUGGAAAUCCACCACCGUAGAGCUCACGUCGGACAGAGAGGAUGGCGUUGUUGGCGGGGUCUCGGGGGGGAUUGUACGGUCGCCACACGCACACAAGGCGCCUGCACAACAGACCUGCCUCGGAAAACACGGCGCCAGUGACGGUCUACAACCCCGAGGAGGCAAACGGACAGUUUACUGAGCUGUAGUUUUUUAAACCGCCUUUACCCAAGUGUGGACAGAUCUUCACUUUGUAUGUAGUUGUUGUUUGUGUGUUGUUAAUAAAGCUCUUUCUUUGCAUAAACAUGUGGCAAAUGUUCAUUUUCUCUAUAAAUUCAUUGUCCUGGUUGGUAUCCUAAUAAUAGUGUAGUAGCCUACAUAGGAUAACCAUGAAAUGAAUAUACAGCAUAAUAUGAAUAUAUAAAUAUAUAUAAAUAAAAUGAGGCAUGUGACCAAUAGCGACAGAUCUGCCAACCAAUCACGAGUGAUUGAAAGUUGUGGUUUCAUCCAAUCAUGAACAAGGAAACUCAAGCCUGGUGUGCCCAGGUGUGGUUUUGCUGCCAAUCACGAGUGAUUUUAUUUGUUAGUAAGUUGUGGUUUCAUCCAAUAAGGAGUAAGAAUAUUCAAGCCCGCUCGGCUCGGACACCCGCGGUUUCGCUGCAUCCAUAUGCUAAUUCGGGCCAUUCGCACCUCCGCCAGCUCUCCACAUACGUCCUGGUUCGUUUCCGACAAUUUGUGGCACAGACAAACGCGGCGUGCGCGGGUUGCAAAUUGUCGGAAAUUGUCGGAAAUUAGGGAGAUUUCCGGGCGUUUACGGGGACGAAAAUCUCACUUUUCAUGCAGUGCUUGCCGCCGUGAGUCCAGGAUGGCGAGACAUGGAAUGAUGGCGAGAUCUUAUAGUGAGGGGGAAGGUUUAGCCUAUAGGUGACGUCGUUCAACUUCUUCUGUAUAGUGAAGGGUCCGAUGUACCGAGGACUCAGCUUACGACAAGGCAGGCGGAGGCGAAUGUACCAAGUAGAAAGCCACACUUUCUGGCCCGGUUGAUACAGCGGGGUUUCGGACCGAUGCCGGUCUGCUUGUAUCUUGUGCUUGCGCACUGCCUGUUGGAGCUGUACGUGAGUCCCAUACCCUCUCACUGUUUUGAAACCAGUAGUUGACGGCUGGCAUCUCUGAGGGUUCGCCCGACCAGGGGAAUAGAGGUGGUUGAUAUCCCAGCAUGCACUGAAAGGGUGUGAGUCCCAUACUAGCCUGACGAAGGGAGUUCUGGGCAUAUUCUGCCCUGGGGAGAAAACGGCUCCAGCUGUCCUGGUUCAGGUGGAAGAAAGUCCGCAGAUGACGUCCAAUUUCUUGGAUCUACCGCUCCAUUUGUCCAUUAGUCUAAGGAUGAUAUCCUGAAGACAGACUGACUGUAACCCCAAGGAGCCUGAAGAAAGCUUUCCAAACCCUAGAGAUGAACUGCGGUCCUCUAUCUGAUACAAUCUUGUAUUCCACAGGGAGGUUCACUUGGGGUUGGACGUCAGGACUUUUGAUGGACGUGGAACAGACGGGAUACCAAGGUCUAUCCCUAGUGGAUGAAGAAGAAGGGCUGGACUGGGGAAUCCUCUGAAGCGAUGUGAUACACGAAUGGAAACAGUCCUCACCCCAUCGAAGGAUCUCUUCAGUUGUCCAGUUGAUGGUGGGUUGAUGUUGCAUUAGCCACGGCCGGCCCAAGAUGAGCUCAGCGGUGGAGUCCUCCAGUACCAUGAAGGUGAUUUCUUCUAAGUGUGAACUGCCUAUGCGGAGUGUCAGUGUGGGGGAGUGGUGGCGAAUCCGUCCCUUACCCAGCGGUUUACCUUGGAUGGUGUGGACUCUCAAUUCUUGCUGGCUCAAGCGUGUGCGGACCCCCAACGUUUGCGUGGAGUGGAGAUGAAGUUCCCUGCCGAGCCUGAGUCGAUGAGAGCAUGCGCUGUGACACAGGUACAUGCAGUCAACAGUUGAACGGGCGUACGGGUCACAGUAGCAACUUUAGGAGGGAGUUGAAUGGAACUCACCGCUGGGUUCUGGGCCCAGUUUUUCAAAAGUAAUCCACUAGGAUUUUGGAUAACGGAUUGGAUCAAAUCUUGCAAAUGGAUUUUUCAAAAGAAAAAAGCGGAUUACAUAAUUGGAUUAGAUCACGUAAUCCAAUCUUGGUUUUGAUCCAGAUCAAGGGUGGAUUCACAACUCUAGUAGAACUACGUACAGCAUCGCGGAAGCUCAGCGAGUUGUUGAAGUUUGCAGCAUUUGUGCUAAAUGCUAAUGGCCUGGAUUAAAACACUUGCGGUUCUCAUCAUUUGCUUCGGUCAUGUCUGAUGGUGGCUAGCCGGACUUCUAAUAUCACUUUUUUUCGUCUUCUUUAGGAAGUGCACGGAAUAUGUUUUUCUUUGCUAAAAUAUAGUUCUCUGUGCUCAAAAAUGACGCGCUCAGGAUUGUGGCACAGAUAUAACGCCAUACUCUCCUGGCAAAGUGGUGGUGGCGGUGGACAACACCUGCCAUUUCACUGUCUCUCUGUGAAUCCUCUGAGCUGAUUUAUAUGGCUGUGUAAUUGGUCUUUUCAAACACACCUAUUACAACUGAUUAGUUUUGGCUUGUGUUCAAUUGAGGCAAUUGAACAGAUCAGAGUGACACCUAACCUAAUAAUAUCGGGUAUCAUAAAGCUCUGACUAAACGCCACCAGUAACGACAGGAGGAUAAUCUAAAUGCUGACAGGUUCAGCCUCCGUCUUUGAAUUGACUUUGUAAAAUUUGUGGUGCUUUAAGUGUGAACAUGACGUCAUGACGCUAACACUAGCAUAGUGGCUAACGCUGACUUUGACAAAUUUAUAACGCUAACGUAACUUGUUAACGUUAACCUUUCUAGCUAGCUAACUUGGCUAUCGGAGUAGUUUGCAAACUGGUAAAAGUAGUUUAGCCACCUUAACUCGUUAUAGUGCGUUCACACCAAAAGCGAAACGAAUUUUAGCCUGAGUAAACUUGCUUGAGUAAAGCUGUUUAUUUCGCUUCAUUUGCGUCCCAUUUUUUUUGCUUCAUUCGUGCCUGGAAGGGGGCGUGGCUUAUCUCCGUUUCGUGUCUUCGUAAAGACAGUUAUUGUUUCCACCAUGGAAAUAAAUAACCACAAUUUCUGCUCUUUAUGUGUGUGAAUUACACAAACGUGUUGUGUUCGGGUUCAUGACAUCAUCCAUCACCACAGACAGCUUGAAUGUUGCCGACUCCUCCAGGAAGUGCGUCUGGAUGACUGCGGCUUCAGGCGUACCAGCAGCCGGUCUGAUGACCUGUUGUGUCAGAUCGGUGCGUCUCUCGGUUACACACUAACUAAAUUACAGGCGUUCAGUCUCAGCCGUGUGUGUGUCUCCGGUGAGCAGCUGUUUAAUAAAGUGUAUUCAGUGGCAGCAGGACGGCGGUGAUGACGAGCGGAGCAUCUCAACGCUGAUUGGCUUUUGCUAGACAGCGUUGAGAUGCUCCGCUUGUCAUCACGAAACGCGAAAGAGCGAUAUAUUCGUUUCGCUUUUUUCGCAUUUCGCUUUUGGUAUGAACGCAGCAUUAGUUAACAUCCCUUCAGUCAGUGGUAGCCGCUAUGCUCAUGUAACGUUAAACCAUAACAGACAACAUUGAACCCCGGAAAUAUGUCACUCUUUCAUAUAAGUUAAAACUCUGUAUGAGCUACAAACCCAUUUUAAUGUAUUUCUGAAACGCAAAAAAAAUAUUUUAACCAUUUAAAUGAUUGGCCAUUAGCAGAGGGACUCAAUGCUACUUACCAGAAAAACAAACAAGCGGAGCUACGCAAUGGAGAGUUGGGUUAGAGGUCACUGAGGCGUUCAUGGGCACUUGGAAAUUUAGGUGUUGAGCGCACAAGCACGAAACUUCUCUUCGAUAGAGCAGUACAGUAUCAGAGCACGUACGGUGUCACAUCGACCUCAAAGCUUACUUCAGUCAGCCAGCUUAUGUCAUUAUUAAUAAAAACACACAUAUCCUUAACCCAUACACACUGUUCAUAUUGCAAACCUUCACCGUAUGUUUCAGGUCAAUUUUUACCCGGUCCAAUUACCUCAUGUCUGUACCACAUUUUAAACUACACGUCUAUUUAGAAUGAGAAUGUCUCAUUAAUUAGCCCUUAAUAAAUGUUUAAGAGAGCAGGGAGAGUAUUUUUUAACACAUUAUAAUGUCCUGUUUUACAUUAUACAUAAAAUAAAAGAGUCACAAGAGCCUCUCUGAGCUUCUCCAAAAAGAACCUCCUCCAGUUCCUUUUGCUUGCCCCCCAUGUAAGAUCCAGCUUGCUGUAUAUAACAAAGGCAUUGUAGCUUGAUGCUGUUGAUAUUGUGGAAUAUUACAAAAGGACGAUGGCUUGUUUUCUAUCUUCCCACCUUUGAAAUCAAGUCGUUACUUUGUUGAUUGUUUUAUUACAUCGCAGGAGCUUGUGCUUGCAGGUGCAGUGUCUGUGUCAAGGCACGCUUUGACCUCUGUUCCCUUUGUGCACUGUAUAUGAUCACUCCUAUGUUGUUAUACUAUUUCACUCUUUGGAGACCCCCCCUCCUCCCGUGCCCCUUGAAAGACAGCAGGUGUUGUCUCUGCGGGAACCUGGACAAAUGUUGUGUGAACACAGACAGUUCUUGUCAUGGUGUCGAGGUCCCCCUUGACCUAUGUCACCUUUGUCCCAGGAAAAUUACACACAAGCAUCACCUGUACAGUUCAACAGUUUGAAGAUUCCCUAAAACCAUCAUUGUCUUUGUUUUCACCGACACUGGGAGAUUUCAAAUAAAUUGAUAGAUUCAGAUCAAUUUGACCUGAAACAGCCUCAGUGAAUAAAAAUGUGUAUCACCUGUUAAAGUACAAAACAGAGUUGAAGUGAGUUAGGAGCAGAUUUUUAUUUUAUAAAAAUAUGUUCCAGAUUCUAAAAUUUGUUCAAUGCGUUUCAUUAUUUCCACUACUAAUGUUCUUUUAGGUGUCAGAAUGUAAUGCGUGUAUCAAAUUGUUGAAUACAUUGACUUACAUUACAUGUUAUCCCCUGGCAAAAUUAUAUCACUCAAUAAAUAAUAGUUUAACUUUGGGAACUUCAUCGGGCUGAAUAAACACUAUCAUUAUUAGUAGGGGUGUAACGAUUCAUUUUAACAACGAUUCGAUUCGAAUCGCGAUUCAUGGUUGCCGAUUCGAUUCAUGGACGAUCUGGGUUAAUUUAGAACGAUUCGAUUCAGUGAAUUGAAAUCGAUUCAGUAACUUUACUGGACAGUGCAGGCAAAGUUUCUGAGAUCCUUGUUGUUUCUUGUCAGGAAAUCAGGUUUAAAUUAAUUAUGGAUAUUAUAAACAAGCAAACAACAAUUAAUGGCAAAUGAAUUAACCUUUUAUUUGAAUCAAGUGCAAUUUUCAAUGUAAACAUUACACAAUAAUUACACAAUGUUUGGAUCAAUUCACAGAACCCCGGAUUUUCAACCACAUUGUAGGGUCGCAUGUCUUUACAGCUAAACUUGGCGAUUGUUGCUGUGAUGUUGAGUUUGGUGCUGGCGAGGCCUGAGGUGUCUGCAGAGCUGGAGUUACCUUCUGCUGCUGCUGCAGUGGUAACGCUGCUAGAGGUGCCUGACUGUCGGCGUUGUUUAAUCCCACGGCGCCUUGGCCGGAAAGAUUCGUUGCGUUUCCGUGUUUUUAUUUGGCUUUUACAUAUUCUACAAACAACGACCGACUUAUUUAGAACACCUCCGUGUUUGCAAAAGCCAAAAUGUUUCCACGCGCUGGAUUGAUAAGUUGGUUUGUAAAUGUCUCGCUCGCAGUUGUCUCCUCCACGCUGUUGUUCAGAGUUUCGCGCGGCUGCCGCUGCGUACUGAUGACGUCACAGACAGGCAGACUGAAUCGAGUAACGUUUAACGUGUCUAAAGUGCUAAAAAACAAACAAACAAACAAACACACAUCCAUACAGUUUUUGUGCUUAAAUCCAAUGUGCAGUUUCCAAGUAUCGAUACAAUCGAUUAUGUACCAUUUCAGUCGAUUUGUAAUCGAUAUAUGUCGUCCGGAAUGCCGAUUUGCUCAAGCGCAAAGAUGAAAUUAAGUUGAAGUUCUGAAAAUAUUGAAAUUGGCUUUGCUGAAAAAGUGUUGUAGAAGUACUUGAAGAAGUGAAACUGAACUGAAAUCUAGCAUCAGAAUCAGCAGAAAUAUCAUUCAGGAGUAAUAUUGGCAGUAUUAGUAUCAAGGGCUGCAGUAGUAGCAGUCGUAGUAGCAGCAUUUGUAUAUCAAUAGUAACUGUAGCAGCAGCAGGUGUAGUCGUAAAACUCAGUAGUAGUCUCAGUGUUGCAUCGAGUAUAAAGCAGACAGUGACCUCAUUACAAACAUUUUGUUUGUUUACAUUCAGAAUACAAUCUUGUGAAUCAACAAUUUCAAAAUAAUUAAAACAGUAAUUAGUAUUAGCAUAUCAAGACUAACAUACAGAAAAACCUAAUAUAUUGCUCAUGCAAAAAUUUAAAACAAUAGCAAUUAUAAAAAUGUCAAUAAAAAUUCUCUGUACUCAUGUAAAUAAAAACUGGCAAAGUAAAAAUGGUUUUCUCUUUGUAUAUUUAAUUGUUCAAGUAAGGAUGAUUUAUUAAUCUGAAAUAAAUUACAGUUAAAUUUAUUCAUCAUAAUUUAAGGGCUCUCAAGUAAAUUAAAAACAGAAAUAAAAAUAAAGAAAAAGGAAACACUUUCUGCAGAAGCCGUUUUUUCCACAAAGAUCCCACAAGAUGAACCCAUAGUGCCUAUAAGAAAAACUUUUUAAAUAGAUGUAUACCACAGACCAGGCAGAACAUUAUUUUGUCACUACCAGUAGUUUGAGGUGUGUGCUAUAUUUCAAAAGAUGCAUUUACAUCCCAUCUUUACAUCCUUUUUUGACUCAUUAUCUUCUAUUGAAAUAUAAUAAAAUAAUAUAGAUAAGUACAGUGCACAAGUACUGUUGUAUUGAUCAUAAUGUAUUUCGUGGAAGAUAAAAUCUUAGAGUGAGAAAUCAACACAGUUUUUGUGAACAUUGGUCCCUUUGUUUGAUAUUCAUGAAUACAUUUACUAUAGUUUCUAUAGUUAACAAUAUGGUUAAUUUCCUACAAUCAAAGGCUUUUCACAUUGUUUCCAGGCCAUGGUUAAUACUCAGUUCAAGACUUCAAGGUCCAGAAGCCCUGGACAGACAAGUUUUGUCAACAUUGUCAUUUAGACCAUGCCAACAUUAAGCUCACAGAGUCAUGUUCAUGUUUUAGUCAUGUUUUAGAAUCUGAAGAUUGAUGGAUUUCACAGUCUUACAAUUUAACACUGGGCAGUCUCAGUAGAGUUUAGGUUAUCCUAAGGAUCGUGUACACAUGUGAAAAACCUUUAAUAUACCUACCAGCUGAAACCCCAUACUAAUGACUCAUUGUGAUACAAUAUGUAAUUUCUUCAAGGUUAAUUUGUUCGUUUUCAUCCUCAAUUUUCUCAUAUAUCUGUUAGAAAACUGACUGAAAAGGGACGGAUGAUAUAAAUAAAUACAAUCAACUAAAAAAAAAUGGGAUGAAACAUAAAGAAAACGUAUAUUGUUAGAUCAAAUACGGUAGAGAUGAAACAAACAAAAUAGACAGGGGUCCUGUAGUAAUACGGUUCAUGAGUUAGUAGUGUAUGCUUUAAAGACCUGUGCCAUUAUGACCUUUGACCUGUUCAGUGGCUGUAGAUCCACUGCUUCAGUCAUCACAGGUACCUUAUCAUCUGUUGUGAAGAAACCUCAACACUGGCAGGGAGAACACGUGUCUCUGUGGUCCAGCAUGUGUCCACUGAUGAUGAACAGUUAAGACGGUGCUUCAACAUCUGCUCUGCUGCUGCAAUGGUGGCAGGAUGUCUUGGUCGGUAUGAGCUGAUCCAGAAUCUCAGAGUGUUUUCUCGUCCUUUGCUUUGAAGAAUGAUGGGGACAGGCAGGAAGUCAAAUGUGUCCCUAUGAGGUCUAACUGUGAUGGGUCCUCGGUUGAUUGACAGUUCAGUUGGUGCUGCAGUCUUUGACAUGUCUUAGAUGCUGUGAGCUGAUCCUCACAGUGCAGAAGGAGGUGAGGCCAAGACUGAAAGGUGUCUUUACAGAGGUCAAGGGAGGACUGUGUCUCCUGUCCAUUACAAAGGAAACUUAACACUACAAAGACACAACUUUGUCUCCUGUUCAUUGGAAAGGAAACGUAACACUACAUAGGAAACAUGACAAUUGUGUCUCCUGUCCAAUACAAAGGAAACUUAACACUACAGAGAACACAGGACAAUCAAAAUUAAAUUAAUGGGGAUGGAAGUGUUGGGUUUCAGCUGGUAUGUACAUCAGCAAGUAUGUGUUACAUCUAGAACACAUACUUUCCGAUGUGCGUCUGCUACACUAAAUAUCAGCAGCUGUGUACAAUGCAUUUUACAUUGUAUACAGCUGCUGAAAGAGUUUUGGCCUAUGCAUUUAUCCACCCUGAACCAAACCCACCCUGAUAAAUGCACAGACCAGAAUGUGUUAGAAAUAUUGCAAAAAAUAACAUGGUUACCUGGAAAACUAUAUGACCCAUAAUAUUAUCCAAUACUGUGAACACGUAAAAUGACAAACAACUAGUUUGACCAGAUGAUUCAGUUUUCUUUACAUUGAUGAUUACAUAAUCCCAGACUAACAACAAUGUUGUACUGUUGAAAAAAAAGUACAUGGUUUUGGUCUUACCUGACAUGACAAGACCUGUUGGAGGAAUGUAGAUGGAAAACAUGAUCAUGACAUGUUUUUUACUGUACCAGAAUGAAGGCCCUGCUGUGGUGGAGAGAUGUAAAUCGCUGCACAGAGGAUCCCCCUCCUCUGGAUAACUGGAAUGAAAUCACUGUAUAUACAAUAUUAUUGAAAGUACAUUAUAUUUUUCUUUUAAAACUCGCCUGAUACCUUCAUGGACUGUUAGAGGACAUGAAACAGUAGACAGGGUUGUGAUUGAGAUAUGAAAAUGAGGUCCAGCAGUGUGUUCUUAUCAGUGGUUGCAUUAGUGAUGACUUGUGCAAAUCCUCUGGACUGGAAGAGCUCAAGGAUUGGCUUACCAGUGUUGGAGAAGAGAUUGUCAUUGAAAUCACCACAGAUUAUUAUGGGCUGACAGUCCAUGAUCUCCAAUGAGUCCAGCAGGCUCCCCAGGUUGGACAGGAAUGAUCUCACACUGUAGUCUGGAGGUCUGUACACUGCUGCAAUCAGGGCUCUCACUGGGGGUUCUACCUUCAGAGGUCACAUUAUGUACGUACUGUUUCUUACGCACCUGAACGUGGCUUUUCACAUAAACAGCAACUCCACCACCACCUCUGUUGGCUAUAUGUGGAACAUUUGUGUAGGACGGGUGUCUGUGGCGUAUGAACAUGUUGUAGCCCUCUAAAUGGAGACUCUCUGCCACAAAGGAGCCUUGGAGGUGAGUUUCUCUGAGACACAAAACAUCUGCAAGACACAGUUCAUGAUGGCUCCUGAUGUCAUUGAUGUGAGAUGGCAAACCUUCCAUGUUAUGGUGAACAAUGGUCAGGGUGUCACGUCUGCUCGAGGUCUCUUUGAUACGAAGAAGAGGCAUCAUGUCGUCCAAGUUGACUUGUCUCAUGGUCUCGAGGGCUCCAGUGAUUUCUGGGUUGGCAUAGAUUUUACUCUCAUCCAGAUCCAGCAUGUGCAGUCCACUGAGAGAGGUCACUCUACUGAUAGCUACGUAAGCCAUGCCAGGUUCAAAAAUGUGUUUCAGUGACACUACAGCCGAUCUCCUUGUCAUACCCUGAACCUUGUGUAUCGUGCAGGCAAAUGCAAGUCUAACGGGAAACUGUCUGCGUACAACUCCUUUCUCUUUCAGAUUGUCCUCUGCUCUCUAUGUACACCACAUCACCAGGGCUGCCUGGUGCUCUAUUACGGUAAUUCCUUCUUGAAGUUUGAUCAUCCAUCUUGAGCCCGAGCAUAGUGACAUGUGCAACACCACUCUGUUCUGCGGUUAUUACCCUGACUAGUGUAGCAAACAAUCCAUUCACCAAUCCCUGAGACACAUCUGUGUUUCUGGUGAGCCUGACUCGAGCACCUACGUUUAGUGUGUCUGGUAACUCAUUUCUGGUUCCUUUGUAUGGUUGGGCUUGUCGAGCCAUUCUUCCAGUUCGUGGGUCCUUCUUGUAGUCAUCGAUCUUGGUGAUAUUAGAAUGCAGCAGAGCUAAUGUUACUGAGUUGUGUGAAUCAACCUGUUUAUUAGUUGCAAAGAUGCGCAGCACAUCAGGUGGACAAAGUGACGGUUCAGUGAUGGUCUGUGACAAGGCUUUGUCUGCUUGAGACAACUCAUCUGACUUUCCUUUCACACGGAUCCGGUUCAACAUCUCUGCAAAGGCAACAAUAAAGAAUGAAAACAUAACAUGUACAUAAGUAUUCACAGCCUUUGCUCAAUACUUUGUUGAAGCACCUUUGGCAGCAAUUACAGCCUCUAGUCUUCUUGGGUAUGUUCCACAAGCGUGGCACACCUAUUUCUGGGCAGUUUCUCCCAUUCUUUGCAAAACCGCUCAAGUUCCACCAGGUUGGAUGGGGUGCGGGUUCAAGUCAGGGCUCUGGCUGCCACUCAAGGACAUUCACAGAGUUGUCCCGAAGCCACUCCUUUGUUAUCUUGGCUGUGUGCUUCGGGUCGUUGUCCUGUUGGAAGAUGAACCGUCGCCCCAGUCUGAGGUCCAGAGCACUUCGGAGCAUGUUUUUCUUCGAGGAUGUCUCUGUACAUUGCUGCAUUCAUCUUUCCCUCAAUCCUGACUAGUCUCCCAGUUCCUCCCGCUGAAAAACAUCCAAACAGCAUGCUGCCACCACCAUGCUUCAAUGUAGGGAUGGUGUUGGCCUGGUGAUGAGCAGUGCCUGGUUUCCUCCAGACAUGACGCUUGGCAUUCAGGCCAAAGAGUUCAAUCUUUGUUUCAUCAGACCAGAGAAUUUAGUUUCUCAUGGUCCGAGAGUCCUUCAGGUGCUUUUUUGCAAACUACAGGCGGGCUGUCAUGUGCUUUUUACUGAGGAGUGGCUUCCGUCUGGCCACUCUACCAAACAGGCCUGAUUUGUGGAGUGCUGCAGAGAUGGUUGUCCUUCUGGAAGGUUCUCCUCUCUUCAUAGAACAACGCUGGAGCUCUGUCAGAGUGACCAUCGGGUUCCUGGUCACCUCCCUGACUAAGGCCCUUCUCCCCCGAUCGCUCAGUCUGGCUGGGCGGCCAACUCUAGUAAGAGUCCUGGUGGUUCCAAACUUCUUACAUUUCCAAAUGAUGGAGGCCACUGUGCUCAUUGGGACUUUCAAUGCUGCAGAAAUCUUUCUGUACCCUUCGCCAGAUCUGUGCCUCGAUACAAUUCUGUCUCAGAGGUCUACAGAUAAUUCCUUGGACUUCAUGGCUUGGUUUAUGCUCUGAUAUGCACUGUCAACUGUGAUACCUUAUAUAGACAGGUGUGUGCCUUUCUCAAUCAUGUCCAAUCAACUGAAUUUAGCACAGGUGGACUCCAAUCAAGUUGUAGAAACGUCUCAAGGAUGAUCCGUGGAAACAGGAUCCACCUGAGCUACAUUUUGAGUGUCAUGGCAAAGGCUGUGAAUACUUAUGUACAUGUUAUGUUUUCGUUCUUUAUUUUUAACAGAUUUGUUUAAAAAAAUACUUUCCGGAUGCACUGUAUAUAUAUAUAUAUAUAUAUAUAUAGGCAAAAAUGAAAAGAACGUGGAAAGUAAAAUAAAAAAAAAACAGCUCCAUUUGUCUCCCCUCCGUCACUCAUUUGUCCUGUGUCCAUGCCCAUGUUCCCUACAUUUGUGUGUUCAUCCUGUCUGUUUGUUGCCUCAGGUACCGCCCUCUCCACAUUUUCCUCUACAUCCUCCAUCAUCCAGUUCUCAGCAGUAUCCGACUCAGUGUCAGCCUCCCUCACACCCAAGCCUCCUCAGCUCAGCCUCCUCUCUCAGUGCUCCUCCGACGAGCUCGACUGGGCGAAAAAGUACAUUGUGUCAUGAGGUUGCGGUGAAUAACUUUUUCUGUUCCUCCAUCUUCUGGUUGCACCACAUACACGGGGUUGUCAGGUUGCUUUGUAUGCGUGGGUCAUAGCAUCCAAAGGCUCAUGCCAGCGGGGAUUUAAGUGAGGCUCUAACGUCCUUAGCAUGUUUUACAGGGUCCUAUUGAACCUUUCGGUGGUCUCGUUACCCUGAGGGUGGUAUGGUGUGGUGUGGGUCUUGGUGAUACCAGUACACUUGCAAAGUUCCCUCACGAUAGCACUUUCAAAAUUGUGCCCCUGGUCUGCAUGUAAUUUUGCUGGGAAGCCAAAGCUACAGAGGAAGUUUCUCAAAAGUACCUUAGCCAAUGUGCCGGCUUUUGGGUCUUUGGUGGGGUAGGCUUGUGCAUAGCGGGAGAAGUGGUCUGUCACAAUUAGCACAUUUUCAAUACCACUUUUUGAUUUCUCCAGGGUCAGAAAGUCUACACAAACAAGCUACAUCGGUGUGCUGCUGUGGAUGCUGACUACGGGAGCUCUGAGACCUGCAGUAGGAGUCUUUUUGAGACAGCACCUCUCACACUGCUCACACCAUGUCUUGAUUUCCUAGAACAUUCUUGGCCAGUAAAAUCUUUCUCUUAUCAUCUACAAUGUUCUCUCAAAUCCCAAAUGCCCUGAGUCAUCAUGGAGAGCAGUCUUGACUGAUGUGCGGAGACUCUCUGGCAGUAGAAGCUGCUCCACUGCCCCACUCGGUCUUGAAUGCAGCGGUACAUGAUUCCAUCCUUGACCAUUAACCUGCUCCACUCCUUUAAGAGAAGGCACACUUGCCUACCACCUUCGAUCCUCUCGCUGCAGCGUGGUUUUUGGUUCUGGCUCCUGAAGUACAAGACUGGGCCAAGGACAGGGUCUCCCUUCUGCGCUGCGCAAAUCUCCUACCUUGUCAUGGCAGGGAGUAACUCUGUCCCCACGUCCCCAUAGGGCUCACUGGAUUCGGGGAGUUGGCUGGGUUCAGGCUCGGUGGAGCCAGCAGCACCCUCACCUGCAGGGCCCCCUGGUUCUGGGGCGGUUUGUGUCUCCCACUGCUCGCUGGUAACUCGCUGGGGGCAAGUUUGUAGGACCUGGGUAACUUCCUGGUUGGACAACCGAGAGAGCGCAUCGGCAUUUGAGUUGCUCUGGCCCCACUUGUACUGGAUGUCGAAGUCGAAUGCAGACAACUGCAACACCCACCGCUGACCCAUAGCAUCCAGCUUUGCUGUAGUCAUCACAUACUUGAGGGGGUUGUUGUCUGUUUGAACAUAAAACUUGCGUCCAUAGAGAUCGGUCACCGCCCACUUUAGAGUUAGGAACUCCAGUUUGUGUGGAGGAAAUCUUCUCCACUGGGCUCAAACCUCUGCUGGCAUAGGCUAUACCACUAUGUCAUCCCUGUCUCUCUGUUUGGUGUCUUCAACCUCUAGCAGAGAUGUGUACCACUCUGGAUGGCUUUCUUUGACUUGGUGAAGAAACUGCUGGCCAUGGGUUGCUUGGAGAUGGCUCUUGACAGCAUGUGUGGCAUUGGUCCAUACAAGCAGAGGAGGCCUGUGGAGCAAUAUUCAGAAUCCGGAACGACAAAAGCUGGUACAGUCAGCUGGUACUCGUUUCCCAGCACCUUCAGUUCAAUGCACAGGACACCAUGGUAGGGUACGUUCUGGACUCCAGUGCCUUCUAUGGGUACUUUAGAGGACUGUAGCUUUUGCUCUCGGAGGAUGGGGUGGUUACGCCAAUAUCUGUACUUGGGAGCCAGAGUCGAUGAGGGCCCUGCACUUUAUUCCAUUGACUUCCACCUCCCCCUCGUUCCUGGAACUUACUAAGGGGGGGGGGCUUUUACAUUACAUUACAUGUCAUUUAGCGGACGCUUUUAUCCAAAGCGACGUACAAUAAGUGCAUUCAACCAUAGGGUACAAACUCAGGAGAACAAGAAACAAGAAAGUGCAAUUUCCUCAAAUAAGCCAAUUUACAAUUUGCUAUGGAUGAGUGACGUUACAAGUACAAUUUAAGUGCUACAAUUUGUUAGUCUUUAGUCGAGGUAGAGUCUGAAGAGGUGUGUCUUUAGUUUGCGGCGGAAGAUGGGACACAGAUAAACACUUUCGUAAAUCUCAAAAUAUAAAAUAAUCAACACAUAUAACAAGACAAAGAUAACCAUCGCUGCAGAAAUAACCUGCGAACAGAUAACUUAUAUUUCUGCCCAGCCCACACAACCCACACUAGCAUGCUAACCACUCACUCGCAGACACAUCCCAAAAAGACGUCAAACAGUAAAACAAAAUAAAUACAGCGGACUUUAGACUGGCAUGUUACUGACAAAUACGCUUGAACAAACCAACAAAAAGGGGUACUUUAAACAUAAUAUUUGUACACAGGCAAAGGCAGAUAAACACUAAAGAAAAACAUGGUGUCCAACACGGGAACAAGUCAAAAAAACGUCAUGUGAACAGUGCCACAGUGCCACCCUGCGGCCUAAACGGGUAACUGCUUUACAUUAUAACAUAUUUCACCAUUACAAUGUCAAUAGUAAGCCGGAAUAAAGGGAAAUGUUUCCGCCCAGUUUAAAACUGGGGAUCGUUCGCGUGUGAGGUAAACAGGAUAUCCACUUCACUACGGAAACGGCGGCUUCAUUUAUAUUUGGGCAUAUGAGCAUCUGCUCUUUGCAGAAGACCUUGAUCUGACAGCUUCACCAGAACUUAAUCACAAUGGAACCGUUUGCUGUCAUUUGUAAAGUGUUUCUUCAUUCUUCUUAAAAGGCAACUAAAAACUGUUCACUGUCCUUGGCUUCUCCUAUCCAUCACAAGUCAUUACAUUACAGGUCAUUUUAGCAGAUGCUUUUAUCCAAAGCGACUUACAUUACACCCAUGGUUUUUUUCCUCGUUAGUAUAGUGGACAGUAUCUCUGCUUGUCACGCAGAAGACCAGGGUUCGAUUUCCUGACGGAGAGAUUCUUUUUAAAAGGCAACUACAAACUGUUCACUCUCCUUGGCUUCUCCUAUCCUGUGCAACACAACUCAUGCUGCUAGACACUAUUUUACUACUGAAACUACAGGUCCUGAACAGACUGUUGCUAAAAGCAUGACUCCAGAUUGUCACACUUCUGUCACUUAGCGAAACUGUGACAAUGUUGUCAAAGAAGUGCUGAAUCAAACAAAUGCAUGCAGGAGGACAUCUCUCAGAUGAUGCCAAUCGGUUGGCUUCAUCAGUGGCCUUAUGCGCAGCCUGGAAGAGCUGUCCUUUUAUUGACCAGUUGCAAGAAGAUUCACCGCUGCAGAGAAGGCAGGACAAAUGGACAGUGUUUCCGCCCAGUUUCAAAUUUUUCCUAUUGUUAACCUUUCCUGCCUGUCCGUCUCUGACCGUAGUUGGAGACUGCAGGGGAGACUUCGUUCUCUGCUCCAGGGCCAAGUAUUGCCCGUUGCUAAUACUGGAGAAUACUGGCGAAGCUGGUUACCUGUGACGCUGCCCGCUUGGUAGUUUCAUAACGGCGGGCAAUGUCGUAGGCUUGGGCUAGUGUGUGGGGCCGCUUCUCCAACAACUUCUGUACAAUCUGUGUAUCCCCAAUAGCAUGAGUGAAAACCUCUACACCUAUGGCAUCUUGCUAUUUUUCAGUCCUGUCACUGUAGGCCACAGACACUCUUUCAUAUAUGUCAUCCCGUAAGAGGUGGAGAGAUUCACCUGGUUUGCGGACACGCUGUCUCAACUCGACAGCCACUGCAGCGGCAUGUUCUGAGGAUGGACCAUAGGCAAUUUCGACUUCCUCCACCAGGCGGCCGUAAUCCCACUGAACUGACCGUGGGUUCCUGUGGACAAUGGCUCCUGCCGCACCCACCAGGCAGAAUUUUAACUGAAUGCCCUUGGUCUCUUCAGUCCAGCGGUUCGCCUUCGCGCAGCUCUCAAACCGGUGCAAGAAUUCCCUCCAGGUGUAGUGCCAUCAUACUGGCCGGGACGCAGGAUGGGUAUUCUUUCCCUGGAGUCAUACUCAUCCUCACUCUCCGAAGAAACCUGGUGGCGUUUGGAAUGGGGCCGGCGUGCAUGUGACUUAUGCUGCUCAUAGAUGGGGAGAGGGGACUGUGAUGGCAUUUCUACAUUAUUAACAUUCUUGAGUGAAUUGUCAUCAGUGCGGUGCGAAUGUGAGCCCAUGGGGCGUGGGGAAUGACAAGGGACUGGAGUGCUAUGAAUGAAACUCCCUGAGUGGGCAGCGGCAAAUGGGUUAGUGCUGGGAGUUGCAAUAGUGGCAAUUAAUGGCACUGCUGGAGGGUCACCCCUAUGAUUAUGAAUGUGUGAACGUGGUUCUUUACAUCUCACAUCAGUCCCAAAGUCUUUAUCCACAUCAGCUUUAAACGGGUUAGUGUCUGACAACUUGAGUGGCAUGACGGACUUAUCACAUGUUUCACUUGCAUUUCUUGUUAAUGUAUCGGUCUGUCCAUCGCAUGACAAAAGCUUAUCGAGCCAGUCAUAUCCGUUUCUCAAGUGCAAACAGUCUGUUUUUAAUUUAAAUUCCUCCAUUGAAGUGAAUGACAUCGGACUGGUGGAGUGGCUGGUCUCUUCUCCACUUUGUUUACGUUCAGCCACGCGCUGACCGGAGGCUGCCAUCUUGGCUAACGUUAAGAUAAAAUAGGAAACAGUACUGUUUUGCUAACUGCUCCGGUUUAUCGGUUAUUUCUCAGUGUGCUUACCACAGCGGAUAUCGUUGUAUUUCAUGUCCCUUCGUGGUCGCCAGUGUUAACCUUUCCUGCCAGUCCGUCUCUGACCGUAGUUGGAGACUGCAGGGGAGACUUCGUUCUCUGCUCCAGGGCCAAGUAUUGUCCGUUGCUAAUACUUGGGGUUAAUACCCUUCACUUUCCUUCCUCCUGCCGGUUAGUGAAUAAAAUGCCCGCUGUAUGCUUUCUUUGAGGAUUUAUUGAACACUGAGUAACACGGUUACAGCACAUGGGUUUCUCCGGUCGCUACGUCCACACACAACAUUAACAAAAACUCCGCUCCUUCUCUCCCACUCUCUCGCUCGCUCACUCGCUCACCCCUGCUCCGUACGUGCUGCUCUUAAAGGGGCCGCACCAUUUUACAACACUAUGUUAGGGAACGUGAUACCACCGCUACACUAAAGAAACCUCGGCUUAAUCCACCACUGGUAUUGCCCUUUUGUCUUUGCAGAAGUACUUUGGAGAAGGUCUUGAACUAACAGAUUCAUCAGGCAUUGACCAUCAUCA